UACGGGGGGGGCAAGCGUUGUUCGGAAUUACUUGGGCGUAAAGGGCUCGUAGGUGGCCAACUAAGUCAGACGUGAAAUCCCUCGGCUUAACCGGGGGAACUGCGUCUGAUACUGGAUGGCUUAGUUUGGGGAGAGGGAUGCGGAAUUCCAGGUGUAGCGGGUGAAAUGCGUAGAUAUCGGGAGGAACACCAGUGGCGAAGGCGGGCAUCU
rnacentral:rRNA from 1 species